AACAGAGGAUGUUUAUUAUGUGUUUUUUUUUUUCAUUCAUUCAUACAUCAUAAAAAAGAACUUCAUUACUUGUUAUCAAAAGUUCCCCCCAAAAGCUUAAAGUAUUAGUCUGAGGUAGACUCAAUGUAUAUAACCCCUGUUGAAACCGUUUAUUUAACCAAUGCGGAAUAAUACUUCUAAUAAUUGAUUGAUCAUGGCAACUACUCAUGUCUAAGUGGUUUUGAUUGCAUUUUUAGUAGCUUUUGUCCACUUAUUCUGUCAUGGAUUAAUAAGCCACUGGAGGCACCAUCAUAACAUUUUUACUUUUCUCAAAUCCAGGACACCGAUGUUGAGAUGAUGAAUUUCCAUGGAUCUAUAUGCAACUUUGUUUGUCAUUUGAGAUGUUAAUACAUAGAUUGCACAAUCUGAUGAUGGAUUCAUGGCCUUGAUCCUGUCAUAAGUAACAUCCUCUACGGUGGAAAAUCUGGAGCUUCACUGGAAUUUAGGCAGUUGUGGGAUAUUCCAACCAAAUAUCUGGGAUAUGGAUGCGACAGGGACGUUCUUUAAACCGAUUGCAUUGUGUCGUGCUUUAUGAAUGGGAGCUGUCCAUCACAGUACGAGAUUCUUCAUUCUCGACUUGGCAGUGAAGGUACCAUAAACGUGUUCAGCAUUUUCUCAAAGCUAGGGCACUAAUGUCAAGAUGAUGAAUCUCCAUGGAUUAGUAUCAAACUUUGCUUGUCACUUAAUAUGCCAAUGUGAAGAUUGCUCUCUCUGAAGGCAGAUAUAUGGCCUUGAUCAGGCUGAAAGUAUUAUCAUCAACAGUGGAAACCUGGUACAAAAUCAUGUAGUCACUCUUUCCUUCUGCUGCGGAACAGAAUUGGAGAUUCACUUCUGCAAUAAGCAGUUGUGGUACCAUUUUUGGCUAGGCCGAUGGCAAGAACAAAAAUUCUUCAGGACUUGGGUAUCACCCAGCUGUUUAUGGCACUGAAAUGAAGUGGGAGGAGCUAUGCAUAUGAUUUUUA